rnacentral:rRNA from 1 species
UGCAGGCUGCAACUCGCCUGCAUGAAGUCGGAAUUGCUAGUAAUCGCGGAUCAGCAUGCCGCGGUGAAUACGUUCCCGGGCCUUGUACACACCGCCCGUCACACCAUGGGAGUCGGUAACACCCGAAGCCGAUAGUCUAACGAAAGAGGACGUCGUCGAAGGUGGGAUUGAUGACUGGGGUGAAGUCGUAACAAGGUACC